GUGCGCUACACGUCUGCGCGCUUUCCUCAGCAACAAGUCUACACAUCUGCUCUCCGCGCCUCGGAAAUCUUGCUAAGGAACAUCGACUACCUCCACUUCGCGGCUAAGCGGGAGCGAGCUGAACGGUCUCUCUUGAAAAUCCUGCACCUACGCCAAAGAGAUAAAACAUUGGAGGUGAAUGUGAAUGAUGAUGAUGAUGAUGAUGAUGAAAACUCACGCGCUCUUCCUGCACAGAUGAUCUGAAGAAGAAUGACAGUAGGAGCAGCAAACACUGACACCUCAACAAUCACUAGAAUCACUAGAAGACACAAGAACACCAUUAAAUCCAUCAAACUCUCAAACACUACACAUGAGAAACAAACACAAGAUGAGUUCAGUGAGAGUUUCACUCAUGUACUUAUGUAACAGGA